rnacentral:rRNA from 1 species
GACGAACGCUGGCGGCGUGCUUAACACAUGCAAGUCGAGCGAGGCCCGCUCUUCGGGGUGGUGCCCUAGCGGCGAACGGGUGAGUAACACGUGGGCAACCUGCCCUCAGCUCUGGGAUAACUCCAAGAAAUUGGUGCUAAUACCGGAUGUGACCGCUGACCGCAUGGUCUGGUGGUGGAAAGAUUUUUUCGGCUGAGGAUGGGCCCGCGGCCUAUCAGCUUGUUGGUGGGGUGAUGGCCUACCAAGGCGACGACGGGUAGCCGGCCUGAGAGGGUGACCGGCCACACUGGGACUGAGACACGGCCCAGACUCCUACGGGAGGCAGCAGUGGGGAAUAUUGCGCAAUGGGCGGAAGCCUGACGCAGCGACGCCGCGUGGGGA